rnacentral:rRNA from 1 species
CCUACGGGCGACAGCAGUGGGGGAUAUUGGACAAUGGGGGAAACCCUGAUCCAGCGACGCCGCGUGAGUGAAGACGUAUUUCGGUAUGUAAAGCUCUAUCAGCAGGGAAGAAAAUGACGGUACCUGACUAGGAAGCCCCGGCUAACUACGUGCCAGCAGCCGCGGUAAUACGUAGGGGGCAAGCGUUGUCCGGAUUUACUGGGUGUAAAGUGAGCGUAGACGGUGCAGCAAGUCUGAUGUGAAAGGUCGGGGCUCAACCCCGGGACUGCAUUGGAAACUGUUGAACUGGAGUACAGGAGAGGUAAGCGGAAUUCCCAGUGUAGCGGUGAAAUGCGUAGAUAUCAGGAGGAACACCAGUGGCGAAGGCGGCUUACUGGACUGUAACUGACGUUGAGGCUCGAAAGCGUGGGGAGCAAACAGGAUUAGAUACCCGGGUAGUC